rnacentral:lncRNA from 1 species
CAUGGCACUCUAAACAAUACAAGCUAAUGAAUAAAAAUGAAAGGAAUAACUUGGAUGGUGUUCGGAUCUCUCAUUCACAUGUCACCACAAAAACAACAAUGGUUAGUAUGCAUUAACAAAAUGGAAUUAAAACGUUAAUUCAAAUGAAAUAGAGAAAUGGUAUGAUGAAAUGACAUAACGGAUAUGCUAACACAUCAUAUCCAAUUGGAAUAUUAUUUUCAAUUUGGAUCAAAUAACCACAAUCAAAGAAAUUGAACAAUUAAAAUGAAACUAAAGGUCACACAAUACAUGAACAUGGUAUAUGGAAUUAAAAGGGAAUUAAAAUGACUUAAUCCUAAUUGAUCCUAAGCAUGAAUUAAAAGUCACGAAUUAUGGGGAAACUCUAAUCAAGAAUUAAUAUGGCUAAUCGAGUAUUUUUUAGGGAGUUUUCUCAUGGUUAACAAAUGAAGUAACAAACAAACAAAUCCUAAUCAUGUUAAAGUCUAAAUCUACUUAAAUUCCUAAUAAAAAAAGGUCAAUUAAACGGAUUUUAUUAUCAAUUCUAACAAUCAACUAUUAAAUCCUAAACACAAUCAUCAACAAUUAAAAUUUUAAACAAAUCCAAAUUACAUGAAAAUCCUAAUUACCAUUAAUUAACUCCAAAAUUCACUAAUCAAACUAAACUAAGCCCUAAUAACAUUGGUGAAUGGACUCAGCACAUAUGAAUGGGCCUGGAGGUGAAGAUUGUAAAGCCCGGAAUCGCAGGGGUGCAACGUAGUGCACGGGGGGUACGAAACUGAAUCACGUGGGCCUAGAAGCCCAAUACCUCAGUACAAAUGAGAGACCAAACGUAUCAAGCUAACAAGCCCUCUCACAUACUCGGUUCCAUCUACAGCGAUGGACAUACAUCGUCGGAGCACUCUGCCCCCGCUGCGUCGUGCUUCAUCCCUUGCGGCGUUGGAGAGCCAUCCUCCAUCCAAAUUAACCACAACCUUGCUCUAAUUCCUAUUCAGCAAAUCGAAACACCUAUGAACCCUAGGUUACCUAUCUGGAAAUUGCGUUACUAUGCGGAGACAAUCGAGUUCACAACCUUGGGAAAAUUGUUCAUUAGAUUCAUAUAUACACAGAGGUUGCUAACGUGAUUCAAAUAGAAGGAGUUUUCACGUGCCUUUUAACGUCGGCGGUGGAGCACCCGGCGGAAGGCGUUUGGAUAAGGUUCCGGUAUGAAAUGCUCGCCGCUCUUCUCUCCUAUUCCUUUCCUACUUCGAUCUUCUUCGUCGCUAUCGUGCGAUUUGAAUUGCGUCUCUCUUGUGUCCCGAAUCGUAACUGUCGAAGGUGUUGUUGGAACGAUGGAAUCGCAAAGAUUUUUGAAGCAACGUACACUUCAGAGUAAAGAAUUCCAGUUCGGAUGAAAGUAGCCAACAGACUCGUCGGAGAAGACGACCGGUGCAACGGUGGCGCCGAUAAACGCAACUCUCAGGUAUGCUCUUGAAUGUUCUUCACUACUUCAUUCUCUUUCUCUUCUUCUCUUCUUUCUUGGUUUUCUGUUUCUGUUAUGUGGUUGUGCGGGAUCGACGACGAGUGAAAAUAAAAAAAAAAGUUGAGUGAUUUUUGGUCUGAGUCUGAGAAGAAUCUAGCGUAUCAAUCGGCAACGACGAACGAGCUUUUAUAGGCGUGAAGCUCUUAACAGAGUUUAACUCUGUUAGAUCCAUAGGGUUCAAGUUGGUUAGAGGUUCCACCUCCGUUAGCUGGUCCGUUAAAUGAAAUCUGAAUUCGAAAAAUAGUUAACUUGUUUUGACUUUGGUUAUUGGCAGGUUAUGGUGAACUGGUUGUGAAAUUAAUUCGAGUUGAUUAUUUGGAAUAUGAUGCUUAUUAUGCUGCUUUCUGUUUUUGUUUCCAUUGCAUUUUGCUCACGCAUUUAGCUUGUGCGUUUCAGGUGCCUGAAGCUACAGUUCUUGCUUUGUCGUUUCUCGCCGCCGGCCUUGCCGUUAGGAGCUUGCUUUUGUAUCUUUAGCAAUUUCGUUUUGAUGCAUUUUAUUGGUAAAUCUUUCAGGCUGCGUCUUAACUUGUAAUCCGAAAUUCAAGUCAAUAUCGGUUUUUUGGUGUUGAACGUAUGAAAUGGUGUAAUGAAAACUGGGUUAGAGAAUUUGGAUAUGUGAAAUGGAUCGAUCUGGUUUGAGAACAUGGACAAGAAAAAUGGUUUUAAGGAAAUGGAUUUUGAUAACAGGUUGGAUUUAAUAUGGAUUGGAUUUUGGAUAAUUGAUGAAAUUGGAUUUAGGAAAAUGGAUAACGGAUAUUUGUUAGUGGUAAAUGGGAUUU